rnacentral:rRNA from 1 species
UGCAAGUUGAGCGCUGAAGGUUGGUACUUGUACCAACUGGAUGAGCAGCGAACGGGUGAGUAACGCGUGGGGAAUCUGCCUUUGAGCGGGGGACAACAUUUGGAAACGAAUGCUAAUACCGCAUAAAAACUUUAAACACAAGUUUUAAGUUUGAAAGAUGCAAUUGCAUCACUCAAAGAUGAUCCCGCGUUGUAUUAGCUAGUUGGUGAGGUAAAGGCUCACCAAGGCGAUGAUACAUAGCCGACCUGAGAGGGUGAUCGGCCACAUUGGGACUGAGACACGGCCCAAACUCCUACGGGAGGCAGCAGUAGGGAAUCUUCGGCAAUGGACGAAAGUCUGACCGAGCAACGCCGCGUGAGUGAAGAAGGUUUUCGGAUCGUAAAACUCUGUUGGUAGAGAAGAACGUUGGUGAGAGUGGAAAGCUCAUCAAGUGACGGUAACUACCCAGAAAGGGACGGCUAACUACGUGCCAGCAGCCGCGGUAAUACGUAGGUCCCGAGCGUUGUCCGGAUUUAUUGGGCGUAAAGCGAGCGCAGGUGGUUUAUUAAGUCUGGUGUAAAAGGCAGUGGCUCAACCAUUGUAUGCAUUGGAAACUGGUAGACUUGAGUGCAGGAGAGGAGAGUGGAAUUCCAUGUGUAGCGGUGAAAUGCGUAGAUAUAUGGAGGAACACCGGUGGCGAAAGCGGCUCUCUGGCCUGUAACUGACACUGAGGCUCGAAAGCGUGGGGAGCAAACAGGAUUAGAUACCCUGGUAGUCCACGCCGUAAACGAUGAGUGCUAGAUGUAGGGAGCUAUAAGUUCUCUGUAUCGCAGCUAACGCAAUAAGCACUCCGCCUGGGGAGUACGACCGCAAGGUUGAAACU